UGCUAGACAGAACAGACAGACAGAUGGACAGACAGACGGUCAGAUGGACAGGAAGGAAAGAAACAUCCAAAAGAAGGAAGAGAUCAGACGAAAAGAUCUGAAGCAGAGAUUCAUCAAUUUCUCAUCUCUGGGCAGUGAGUGGUCCAGUCACGGCGCUGAAAUCAGCAAGAACUUCAAGCCGGCCCACGGACCAGCUCUGUUACCCUUCCCCAACCGUGAUUUUCUAUUCACUAUUCCUGCUGGAGAACAGAUUAUGGUGCCUGACUACAGGAACACAUGCCUAUAAUCGCAGAACUCUGGAGGCCAAGGCAGGAAGAUGAGGAGUUCAAGGCCAGCCUUAGACACAUGGCCAGUCUGAGGAACACCCAAUACCCUGUCUCACAGAAUGACUAUGCUAUGACUCAAGAGUAGUUGGGACUGGAGAGAGAGUUCUGUGGUUUAGAAUAUGGCACCUGGGUUUAACUCUAGCACCUACGUCAGGCAGCUCUUAGACGCCAGUGACUUCAGGUCCAGAGAGAUCUGAUGUCUCCGGCAUUGAUGGGCAUUGCUCUCACAUGCAUGGACUCACACUCGGACACAUAAGUUAAAAUAAAACACCUUGAAAAAG
rnacentral:lncRNA from 1 species